ACUGGGGUUGGCCGAGUGGUUAAGGGCGUUGGACUUAAGUUCCAAUGGACAAGUGUCCGCGUGGGUUCAAACCCCACACCCAGUA
rnacentral:tRNA from 1 species